UACGGGGGGGGCAAGCGUUGUUCGGAAUUACUGGGCGUAAAGGGCUCGUAGGUGGCCAACUAAGUCAGACGUGAAAUCCCUCGGCUUAACCGGGGAACUGCGUCUGAUACUGGAUGGCUUGAGUUCGGGAGAGGGAUGCGGAAUUCCAGGUGUAGCGGUGAAAUGCGUAGAUAUCUGGAGGAACACCGGUGGCGAAGGCGGCAUCCUGGACCGACACUGACACUGAGGAGCGAAAGCCAGGGGAGCAAACCGGGAGUUAGAA
rnacentral:rRNA from 1 species